CCCUGCAGCAGCCAAAGGGCAUCUGAGGAGAAGGGGAGGGAGACGGAGGCGGCCGCCCGCUCGCUGCUGUGCCUGUCUGAGAGGAAAGAAAAUGGUGGGCGGGGAGGAGGGGGCGCCGGGGCAGGCGGCGGCCGGCAGCAGGUGCGGGCCGACACGGCGGCGGGGCUCAGCCGAGCGCCCCCCUUCUCCUCCUCCUCCUCCUUCUCCUUCAGCCCCGGUCCCUUCCAGUGCCAGGGCUGCGGCUCUGCCCCGUCAGGAGCCGCAGUGGUCCACAAAGGAUUUCCAUUUGUUGAGUGGAAUCAGCUUGAUAGCAUGUCCCUGCACCUCCCUGAUCAGCUAAUGCCUCCCUGGGAAUACCUGUAAGCCUACCAGAAGAUCAGGCGACUAAAAGGGAGAAAUGUGAGACUCAAGCAGCCUCUGGUAUUCAAACCUAUGCCACAUUCCACUUGAAGCACUGAAUGGAAACUCAGAAGUGAAGGCUUAACUGGCAACAGGAAUAAGAAGACAAAAACCUGUAAGCGUGGGAGAAGAGAAGGAGGCAGCAGAAGGAUGCAGAAAGACUCAGUCUGGCCCUGCAUGGAACAGGAGAGGUUCAGCCACUCCUGGUUCUGGAAAUUUAAUUGCAGAUCCAGGGUUUGCAAAACAAAAGUCUAAUUUGGAGUAUGUUGGCCCCAAGUUACAAGGUGGAAACCUGGAAACCGUAAGAGUCAAUUCAAGCAAACUGGUAAGACUGAGCUGAAAAUAACUUUGAAAAACAAUUGACAGAAAUUACUGGUUGAAAUACAUGAAAUUUUUGAUCAUUUGUUUGUUUUAACUUUUUAAUUCUUGGUGUUCUUUCCCUAUUCCUGUUAUUCUUUACUCAUUUGUUUAAAAGGUAAAGAACAUUAACAUGCUGAGAAACACCAACAGGCAAAAUGCUAGGUUACAACGAAGUGCAAAUCGUUUUGCACCUGCAGAUGGGACCUUCAGCCUGACUGUGACUCCAGUGCCAGACUGCUUUCUUUUACUCUCAAAUCACCCAUGCAGUACUUCAUUCCUGCAAAUGUGUAAUGCAGGUAAAUUAUUCCAGUCUCCAGGAAGACUAGAUUAGACCUCAAGCCUAAUUUUUAUACUCUGUGGUUACUUAAACCAGUCUGAUUUUUUUUCUGUGGUCAAUUUUAUGUAGGAAGAAAAAGGUUGUUCUUUCUGCUACCUCUUAGCAGUGACCAUUUCCUUUUCUUUUUCCCUUUAUUUCUCUCUUUGGCCUGAGCUAUAACCCCAAAAUUGAUAAAACCCAGACUUACAAAGCAUUAUGAUUAUAAAAAUAGCCUAAAAUGGACUUGCAAAGCAGGGGGAGCAGAACAGGCUCUUGUGGCUGAGGGGAAGGUAAAAGCAGCAGAAGUUAUGCAUAUAAAAAAGAUACACUGUUAUAUCAGAAUAUAAGUCAGCAGCUGGGAAACUCCAUAGGUUGCAGUGAAUAGGCACAAAACAGUCACCAGAGGAUUACUCAGAAGCCGUCCUUCCCAGUUCUGACAGUGAGCAGAGAAGCUGUAUCCUACACUAGAGGCCACAAUUCCCACUCUUAUUCUCACCUGCAUCCUUCAGCCAUUGAUUACAGUAUUGUGCACGAUGCAGAAAAGUAGCAGGAUCCUGAUCUGGAAAUGGGUCAGAUUCAAGCAUGACACAGGUAUUGUAGAGAGCUGCUAUCUCACGUAACAAAUGGGCUGCAGACUGCAUUGAACACCUGAAAUAAAAAGGUGGGAGGACAGCAGAUGAGAUGCUGGUAGAAGCAGGCAGUUUAGCAACUGAAGCCAGGUCAUGCAUUCAACUCAUUAUAGAACCAUCAAUAAAAAUGAAUUCAGUUAUAAUUUUUUCAGCUUUUGUGAAUAUGCAGCUUCUCUGAAUUAUAUCACCCCUGCAGCACAUUCACAGAUAUAUUCCAAAAAGACUACAUAGCACCACAAAGAAUAUCCACAUGUAAGCAUAAAGAUAGAGCUUAAAGUAUCCACAUGUAAGCAUGAAGAUAAAUAAAAUGACAGCUUUCCUUUCUUGCAGAUUCUUCUGCUACUUGUGCUAUUUCUACUCUUAAGCUCUAUUCAUCAAUAAAUUAAUUCAAGGAAGGAAGAGGGUAAUUGCUUUGCUGCAGCUAAAAACUUCAGCAGAUUUUUCAUAUAUUUCCAUGUAUUUCCUUAUAGCCAUAAGUGGGACAAAAUAGAUCAUAAACUAGUUAUCAGAAAUUGUGUGGUGUUCUCCUGGCAACUAAAUUAAAGUUAGAGGGGAAGGUUAUCCAUUAAGCGACUUUUCAAGAAGACUUAAAAUGUAGGAUCUAUUUCCAGUUUAGUCUUCUGGGGGCUGGAUUCAGAGGGUUUCUUUUCCUGUUUAUCUCCAAAUCUAUGAGAAUUUUGUUUUCAUUUAUUUCUAUUACCAAACAAAAUGAGCUGUGCAUAAAUAACUGAUGGAACUGAGCUAUCUGGAAGAUUUCCAAUUAAGAUUAGUUUGUCAUUACAUAAACCAAACGUUAAGGAUUUUUUUUUUACUGGUACUCCACCAGAGGACGACUUGGAUGGAAGAAUUGCACAUCAGCUCAAGAAAAAAAAAUCUGCUAUAUGAACACAUUCUCUUAUAACAAACAAAAGCUCCUCACACUUCCAGAAGGAAUCAUUCAUUCACCCAUUGCAGUUCCUCUGCAAUAAUGACUGACACUGAAUGCUUGACACAAAGAUGUACAAUAUGCAGGAUAUUUCAAAAAUAUACCAAUGGAAGGAAUGCCAUAAGCCUUGAUCAUGGCAAAGCCUGUACACUUAGAUUAGCCCCCUUGAUUUGAGUGAAGCUGCCUACAAGUGUACAGUUAACUACACAGCUGAGUUUAAACAUUAUCAAAGUUAAAAUUAAAGUCUAGAUCCACUAAAAUUCAUGAGAUGUUUUUGCUAUGGGCUUGGAUGUUGUUUAUUUUGUUGUUGUUUUGUUUUGUUUUUCUGUACAGACUAGACAGAGAUGAUUUGUGAAAGUUGCAGAAUAAAAAGCACUACAAAAGCA